rnacentral:piRNA from 1 species
UCAGGAUGGAACGGGUUUCGUGC